AUCCAGCUGACGAGUUCCAAAUAGGACGAAACGCGCGCUCUGGAU
rfam:Schistosoma rodhaini strain Burundi genome assembly, scaffold: SROB_scaffold0010316